UGGGGAAUUUUGGACAAUGGGGGAAACCCUUAUCCAGCCAUCCCGCGUGUGCGAUGAAGGCCUUCGGGUUGUAAAGCACUUUUGGCAGGAAAGAAACGUCAUGGGUUAAUACCCCGUGAAACUGACGGUACCUGCAGAAUAAGCACCGGCUAACUACGUGCCAGCAGCCGCGGUAAUACGUAGGGUGCAAGCGUUAAUCGGAAUUACUGGGCGUAAAGCGUGCGCAGGCGGUUCGGAAAGAAAGAUGUGAAAUCCCAGAGCUCAACUUUGGAACUGCAUUUUUAACUGCCGGGCUAGAGUGUGUCAGAGGGAGGUGGAAUUCCGCGUGUAGCAGUGAAAUGCGUAGAUAUGCGGAGGAACACCGAUGGCGAAGGCAGCCUCCUGGGAUAACACUGACGCUCAUGCACGAAAGCGUGGGGAGCAAACAGG
rnacentral:rRNA from 1 species